UGGGUCUCCAGCUGUUUUCAGACCACAGUUCCCAUCAUCCCUGACCACUGGUGUUGCUAGCUAGGGAUGAUGGGAGUUGUAGUCCAAAAACAGCUGGAGACCCA